GAUGAACGCUGGCGGCGUGCUUAACACAUGCAAGUCGAACGAUGAAGCCCAGCUUGCUGGGUGGAUUAGUGGCGAACGGGUGAGUAACACGUGAGUAACCUGCCCUUGACUCUGGGAUAAGCCUGGGAAACUGGGUCUAAUACUGGAUAUGACUUCUCAUCGCAUGGUGGGGGGUGGAAAGAUUUAUUGGUCUUGGAUGGACUCGCGGCCUAUCAGCUUGUUGGUGAGGUAAUGGCUCACCAAGGCGACGACGGGUAGCCGGCCUGAGAGGGUGACCGGCCACACUGGGACUGAGACACGGCCCAGACUCCUACGGGAGGCAGUAGUGGGGAAUAUUGCACAAUGGGCGCAAGCCUGAUGCAGCGACGCCGCGUGAGGGAUGACGGCCUUCGGGUUGUAAACCUCUUUCAGUAGGGAAGAAGCGAGAGUGACGGUACCUGCAGAAGAAGCGCCGGCUAACUACGUG
rnacentral:rRNA from 1 species